rnacentral:rRNA from 1 species
UACGGGGGGUGCAAGCGUUGUCCGGAAUCAUUGGGCGUAAAGCGUUCGUAGGCGGCAAGGUAAGUCUGAUGUUAAAGCCCGGGGCUCAACCCCGGGGCUGCAUUGGAAACUGGCAGGCUGGAGUGCCGGAGAGGCAGGCGGAAUUCCUAGUGUAGCGGUGAAAUGCGUAGAUAUUAGGAGGAACACCAGUGGCGAAGGCGGCCUGCUGGACGGUGACUGACGCUGAGGCUCGAAAGCGUGGGGAGCAAACAGG